rnacentral:tRNA from 1 species
GGCCCCCAUGCUCGAGAUAAGAGCAUCGGUUUCCUAAACCGUGUGUCGCGCGUUCGAUUCGCGCCGGGGCCA